rnacentral:rRNA from 1 species
UACGUAGGGUGCGAGCGUUAAUCGGAAUUACUGGGCGUAAAGCGUGCGCAGGCGGUUCGUUGUGUCUGUGGUGAAAGCCCCGGGCUUAACCUGGGAAUGGCCAUGGAAACUGGCGAGCUGGAGUGUGGCAGAGGGGGUGGAAUUCCGCGUGUAGCAGUGAAAUGCGUAGAGAUGCGGAGGAACACCGAUGGCGAAGGCAGCCCCUGGGUUGACACUGACGCUCAGGCACGAAAGCGUGGGGAGCAAACAGG